AUUGAACGCUGGCGGCAGGCCUAACACAUGCAAGUCGAGCGGAUGAAGGGAGCUUUCUCCUGGAUUCCGCGUCGGACGGGUGUGUAAUGCCUAUGAAUCUGCCUGGUAGUGGUUGAUAACGUCCUGAAACGGGCGCUAAUACCACCUACUUCCUGCGGCUGCUACUUGGUGAUCUUCGGACCUCCCGCUCUCUUAUGAGCCUAGUUCGGAGUAGCUAGUUGGUGGGGUAAGGGCUUACCAAGGCGACGAUCCGUAACUGGCCUGAGAGGAGGAUCAGUCACACUGGAACGGAGACACGGUCAAGACUCCUAAGGGAGGCAGCAGUGGGGAAUAUUGGGCAAUGGGCGAAAGCAUGAUACAGCCAGGCCGCGUGUGUGAAGAAGGUCUUGGGAGUGUAAAGCAGUUUAAGUGGGGAGGAAGGGCAGUAAGUUAAUACCUAGCGGGAGUGACGGUAACAGCAGAAGAAGCACCGGCUAACUUCGUG
rnacentral:rRNA from 1 species